rnacentral:rRNA from 1 species
AUGGGGUGGCUGCGGUCGCUCAUGGCGCCCAUCAAGAAGCUCUGGAUUCGCGUGCAUUCCGCGCAGAAGAAGAAGAGAGGGAUCUACAUCCUGUACGAGGACGUCAAGUCGUGCCCGUGUGAGGACGUGCAGAUCCUCUGGUCCAUCCUCGUCGAGUCCCACCCGCCGCCGCCGCUGCGGCUGAAGCAGUGA